ensembl:lncRNA
UUAGAAGGUUGGCUCAAAUGUACAUAGUUAUUAUUAAAAUGAAUGUUAGUUAUUGUUAAGUUAUUUGGAAUGAUAUGACAGAAUCUUAAUUUUUGGGGUAAACUUUCAAUUUAUUAUUUGGCGGGUGGAGUGUCCUGAAUGUGGUGUCAUUUUGUUAAGAAUUAAAAAAAAUAGUUGUAAAAAAUCUGAACAAUCAAAAAUUUGUUGCCAUAUUUCUUACUGUAUGAGGUCGCGGUGCAAUGCGAAAAUCCCAUUAGAACAAGCUGUGUGUCACAUCGCACCUGGUGUAGACACAGUUUAAUAGAAGCUGGGCUGAGCUUAACUGAACGAUGAGAGAAUAGAGGUAUCUAAUAAACUUACUAACCUUUACAUUGAGGUAAUAUUAGAAACAUCAGGAAAUCCAUUGUUUCUGGCUGGAUGGAGAGCAGGAGCCUGAUGUUAAUGGCUGGAUGGAGAGCAGGAACCUGAUGUUAAUGGCUGGAUGGAGAGCAGGAGCCUGGUGUUAAUGGCUGGAUGGAGAGCAGGAGCCUGAUGUUUCUGGCUGGAUGGAGAGCAGGAGUGUUUUUGCACUAUUCUGUUGCCACUUCUUUUAUGAGAGGACUUUGGAGGUUCACUAGUGCACAGCAUACCUUAACCAGUUUAUCUGCAAAGUGCUGCAAGUGAGAUGGAAUAAAUCAUUUGCCCUCUCUACA